UACGGGGGGGGCAAGCGUUGUUCGGAAUUACUGGGCGUAAAGGGCUCGUAGGUGGCCAACUAAGUCAGACGUGAAAUCCCUCGGCUUAACCGGGGAACUGCGUCUGAUACUGGAUGGCUAGAGAUUGGGAGAGGGAUGCGGAAUUCCAGGUGUAGCGGUGAGAUGCGUAGAUAUCUGGAGGAACACCGGUGGCGAAGGCGGCAUCCUGGACCAACACUGACGCUGAGGAGCGAAAGCCAGGGGAGCAAACGGG
rnacentral:rRNA from 1 species